rnacentral:rRNA from 1 species
AGAGUUUGAUCCUGGCUCAGAAUGAACGCUGGCGGCGUGCCUAACACAUGCAAGUCGAGCGCGAACGCUCCUUCGGGAGUUAGUAAAGCGGCGGACGGGUGAGUAUCGCGUGAGAAUCUGCCCUUCAGUGAGGAAUACCCUCGAGAAAUCGAGGUUAAUACUGCAUACGUCCCUUCGGGGAGAAAGGCCGCUUUAUGCGGUCGCUGAUGGAUGAGCUUGCGUACUAUUAGUUAGUUGGUAGGGUAAAGGCCUACCAAGACUAUGAUGGUUAACCGGCCUGAGAGGGUGUACGGUCACAUUGGAACUGAGACACGGUCCAGACUCCUACGGGAGGCAGCAGUGAGGAAUAUUGCACAAUGGGCGAAAGCCUGAUGCAGCGACGCCGCGUGGAGGAUGAAGGUUUUCGGAUUGUAAACUCCUGUUAAGUGGAAAGAAAACGUGCUUUCUAAUAAAGAGCAUGUCUGACGGUACCACUAGAGAAAGCACCGGCUAACUUCGUGCCAGCAGCCGCGGUAAUACGAGGGGUGCAAGCGUUAUUCGGAAUAACUGGGCGUAAAGGGUGUGUAGACGGUAUAUUAAGCUUGCUGUUAAACCCUCCGGCUCAACCGGAGAUCAGCAGUGAGAACUGAUAAACUAGAGUAUGGAAGAGAGAAGUGGAAUUCCCGGAGUAGCGGUAAAAUGCGUAGAUCUCGGGAGGAACACCGAUGGCGAAGGCAGCUUCUUGGUCCAUUACUGACGUUGAGACACGAAAGCGUGGGGAGCAAACAGGAUUAGAUACCCUAGUAGUCC